AUUAGAGAAAAUCAUAUAGUCAGAUUGCAAUGCAGAAUCUGAUGUAAUUCCCAAAUCAAGUCUGAAUAUUCAUUUGUGGGCAGAUAAGUGUAAGGAAAGUGCUGAUUGCCAAUCCAGUGUCCAUUCUUCACGCUGGCGUACUCACUAUGGAAGCAACCAUCUUUAGUUGGGUUGCAUGACUAGAAGAAGAGAUAAUUUAGGGCUUAUGGGAAAGCAUAAACUUUCUCAAGUUCACAGUUUGUGCCAUAGGAUUUCCCACAAUCUCAGACAACAUAUCCUUUUGGUUCAUUAAGCAACACUAUUGGGUGAGUCUGAACAAGAACAUGAAAAUUAACAUCAGUGGCCAGUUUGCUGUCUCUGACAGUGGCUAGUACUAGCCACUCUGGAGGGAGUUUCCUGAAACCCUGUAGUAAGCAAUUAGGCAAUAAUCUUCCUACAGAGAAAUUUUCCUCCUAAACCUUAUUGACUAAAGGUUGUGUUAUGAUCUGAAGCAUGAAUUCAUAUCCUUUCCACAAUCAGGAAGUAACCAGAGGUUGAAACAUCUCUUACAAGUAAUGGAAAUAAUGGCCCAGGCAGAGAGACUCUUGUGCACGUGUGAAAGAUUUGCUGAAAUAGAAGAAGAAAAGAGCACCGAGGAUCAUCUUUCUAGUCCUUGACUCACCCAGCAGAGCGAUUUUUUGGAUCUGAUAGAAACAGCUAAGGCGAUUCCACUGCACGUGCAGAAUAGACUAUAUCUCCUGAAAGAGGAAGCCUUUAUUCAUCUGGACCUGGACCACAUACAGUUAUUAACCUGAGUAUUCAAAGAGAAAUAGAAAUCAGAAAGGAUUUUCUGUUAGCCUCGUUGAUUCACUUUUGAUAUCCCAACAGAACUCAACCAGAAAAUUAUAUUUAUGCGGAGCACAUCUGACGAUCCCAGUUACACUAAAGUUUAUCCAGGAUGAUUUGGAUGGAGUCUUACAGCCAAGCACCAUAGAAAGAGAGUAAAACCCUGAAGGAGAGGGAACAAAAGGACCCAAGGAACUCUAUGAAGUGAACUUUGCAGAGUUUUCCUUGAAUUCUCCUAUGAAGUGUCUGCCAUUAAAUGAA